rnacentral:rRNA from 1 species
GAGUUUGAUCGUGGCUCAGAGCGAACGCUGGCGGCAGGCUUAACACAUGCAAGUCGAGCGGGCGUAGCAAUACGUCAGCGGCAGACGGGUGAGUAACACGUGGGAACGUACCUUUUGGUUCGGAACAACUGAGGGAAACUUCAGCUAAUACCGGAUAAGCCCUAACGGGGAAAGAUUUAUCGCCGAAAGAUCGGCCCGCGUCUGAUUAGCUAGUUGGUGAGGUAAUGGCUCACCAAGGUGACGAUCAGUAGCUGGUCUGAGAGGAUGAUCAGCCACACUGGGACUGAGACACGGCCCAGACUCCUACGGGAGGCAGCAGUGGGGAAUAUUGGACAAUGGGGGCAACCCUGAUCCAGCCAUGCCGCGUGAGUGAUGAAGGCCCUAGGGUUGUAAAGCUCUUUUGUGCGGGAAGAUAAUGACGGUACCGCAAGAAUAAGCCCCGACUAACUCGUGCCAGCAGCCGCGU